UGGCCAGACUCCUACGGGAGGCAGCAGUGGGGAAUAUUGCACAAUGGGGGAAACCCUGAUGCAGCGACGCCGCGUGAGCGAUGAAGUAUUUCGGUAUGUAAAGCUCUAUCAGCAGGGAAGAAAAUGACGGUACCUGACUAAGAAGCCCCGGCUAACUGCGUGCCAGCAGCCGCGGUAAUACGUAGGGGGCAAGCGUUAUCCGGAUUUACUGGGUGUAAAGGGAGCGUAGACGGCGGUGCAAGCCAGAUGUGAAAGCCCGGGGCUCAACCCCGGGACUGCAUUUGGAACUGUGCUGCUAGAGUGUCGGAGAGGCAGGCGGAAUUCCUAGUGUAGCGGUGAAAUGCGUAGAUAUUAGGAGGAACACCAGUGGCGAAGGCGGUCUGCUGGACAGCAACUGACGGUGAGGCGCGAAAGCGUGGGGAGCAAACAGGAUUAGAUACCCGUGUAUU
rnacentral:rRNA from 1 species